UAAGGUGAUGUCACAAUCUGCCCCUUCAGCAUCAGUGGAGGCCACACAGGGAGUUUAGCCGUCUACGCUCACCGAGGAGUAAAAGACACCACACAGCCUCCCCCAACGGGUUGUAUCAGAAGAGGUCACCCCCCACCAUGCUGCCGGUGGAAACUACCUAAAGAACCAGAGCUCCUGUCCCUGUCCAGAAGUCAAGAGGGGCCCCCAUCUUACCCUCCGCCCUGCCCCAAGGGCUAACCUAGGCCAAAUGGGGAACGAAGGACUUCUGCUUCUGCCUGGCAAUAUGAGGAAGCCUUUUGCCCUUCCAUGGUAAAAAUCAUCACACGAGCAAUUACGGACACGCUUAAAACGAAUGUAAAAUAUGGGGCGCCUGGGUGGCUCCGUCGGGAAGCACUGUCAAUUACGGGCCCAACAGGGAAGGACAUACAGAACAUCUUGCAUCUUCUAUAAGGAAUCUGACCACCCCUGAAACUCAGCCAAUGAGAAACCCUCAUCACCCUGAACUCCUGCUUCUCUCCAAUGGACUUCUGUUCAAAACAAGCCCUCCCAACUUCCUCCUUCUUCUCCAUAAAAUAAUGCUCCCCUGA